rnacentral:rRNA from 1 species
UGGGGAAUAUUGCACAAUGGGGGAAACCCUGAUGCAGCGACGCCGUGUGAGCGAAGAAGGUUUUCGAAUCGUAAAGCUCUGCCCUAUGAGAAGAUAAUGACGGUACCAUAGGAGGAAGCCCCGGCUAAAUACGUGCCAGCAGUCGCGGUAAUACGUAUGGGGCGAGCGUUGUCCGGAAAUAUUGGGCGUAAAGGGUACGUAGGCGGUCUAUUAAGUCAGGUGUGAAAGCGUGAGGCUUAACCUCAUUAAGCACUUGAAACUGAUAGACUUGAGUGAAGGAGAGGAAAGUGGAAUUCCUAGUGUAGCGGUGAAAUGCGUAGAUAUUAAAAAGAAUACCGGUGGCGAAGGCGACUUACUGGGCUCAUUCUGACGCUGAGGAACGAAAGCGUGGGUAGCAAACAGG